rnacentral:rRNA from 1 species
AUGGUUAGGUUUACCCUUGUUCGUGGCCAUCUUCGCUUCAUGGUGGCCGCGCGGCCGCUGCCUUCUUCCGGCAUGUCCGUUUUGGCAGUUCGUCGCGCUCGGCAGGCUCGUGCAAGGCCUAAGGGCAGCCGCAUGGCGAUCGAGAGGCUCACCGACGACCUCCUCGUCCAGAUCCUCUCGCGCAUACCCGCCAAGGUGGUCUGCCAUUGCAAGGCCGUCUCCAAGCAUUGGGUCGAUCUCAUCGACCACCCCGACCACCGCAAGAGGCUCUCCCAACCGCUGACCGGCUUCUUCUACAACAGCACCAACAAGCACCGCUUCCCGAUAUCAGCCGUGCACUUCGUCAAUGCGUCCAGUAGGGGCUGCCCUUUCAUCUGCCCUUCUCUCUCCUUCCUUCCCAGCCACCGCCGCCUCAACCUCUUGGACUGCUGCAAUGGCCUCCUCCUCUGCCGCCGGUACGACGCCUCCGCCGGAGGCGACGAGUUCACGUACGUCCUGUGCAACCCCGCCACGGAGGAGUGGGCGGUUGCCUGA